UACGGAGGGUGCAAGCGUUAUCCGGAUUCACUGGGUUUAAAGGGUGCGUAGGCGGGCAGGUAAGUCAGUGGUGAAAUCUCCGAGCUUAACUCGGAAACUGCCGUUGAUACUACUUGUCUUGAAUAUUUGUGGAGGUAAGCGGGAAAUAUGUCAUGUAGCGGGUGAAAAUGCUUAGAUAUGACAUAGAACACCAAUUGCGAAGGCAGCUUAC
rnacentral:rRNA from 1 species